AAUGAACGCUGGCGGCAUGCCUUACACAUGCAAGUCGAAGGGCAGCACGACCUGGCGUGCGCGACCGAUGGCGAGGGGCGUACGGGUGAGUAAUGCAACGGAACGCGCCUUGUUGGGGGGGAGAACGUAGCGAAAGUUACGCUAAUACCGCAUAUUCUCCGAGGAGGAAAGCUGGGGACCUUCGGGCCGUGCGCUAGAAGAGCGGCCGAUGUGGGAUUAGCUAGUGGGAGUGGUAAAGGCUCACCAAGGCAACGAUCCGCAUCGGGUCUGAGAGGAUGACCCGCCACACUGGGACUGAGACACGGCCCAGACUCCUACGGGAGGCAGCAGUGGGGAAUUUUGGACUAUGGGCGCGUGCCUGAUCCAGCCAUGCCGCGUGGGUUGAGAGGGCCUUCGGGUUGGGGUGCUCUUUCGGCUGGGAAUAGAUCGCACCCUCUGAUACUGGGUGUGGAUGACGGUACCAGCAUAAGAAGCACCGGCUAACUACGUG
rnacentral:rRNA from 1 species